rnacentral:rRNA from 1 species
UUUUUAUGGAGAGUUUGAUCCUGGCUCAGGACGAACGCUGGCGGCGUGCCUAAUACAUGCAAGUCGAGCGGAUCGAUGGGAGCUUGCUCCCUGAGGUCAGCGGCGGACGGGUGAGUAACA